AUAAAGCAAGAAGAAGACGACGACGCGUCAGCUGCUGUGAACGUGCUCAGGACAGUUUGGGCGGGCAGCGGAUCAGAGCCAUGAGUCGCAUUGACUGACAUUAUAGGACUGACAGACUGCAACGGUUUGAGUUAAAAAUCUUUGUUUGUGUUCUACUGAAGAAACAAAGUCACCUACAUCCUGGAUGCCCUGGGGUGUUGAUAAUGACCAGAUCAGCACCACGAUCCCUGCAGUACUGCCUGCUGUCAGACCAGUUCUUGAACUCAUUGGACAUAAAAAACCAACCUAAAACACAGAUUUUCAUACAUAAACACUUUUCAAA